GACGAACGCUGGCGGCGUGCUUAACACAUGCAAGUCGAACGGAAAGACCCUGCUUUUGUGGGGUGCUCGAGUGGCGAACGGGUGAGUAACACGUGAGUAACCUGCCCUUGACUUUGGGAUAACUUCAGGAAACUGGGGCUAAUACCGGAUAGGAGCUCCUGCUGCAUGGUGGGGGUUGGAAAGUUUCGGCGGUUGGGGAUGGACUCGCGGCUUAUCAGCUUGUUGGUGGGGUAGUGGCUUACCAAGGCUUUGACGGGUAGCCGGCCUGAGAGGGUGACCGGCCACAUUGGGACUGAGAUACGGCCCAGACUCCUACGGGAGGCAGCAGUGGGGAAUAUUGCACAAUGGGCGGAAGCCUGAUGCAGCAACGCCGCGUGCGGGAUGACGGCCUUCGUGUUGUAAACCGCUUUCGCCUGUGACGAAGCGUGAGUGACGGUAAUGGGUAAAGAAGCACCGGCUAACUACGUG
rnacentral:rRNA from 1 species